rnacentral:rRNA from 1 species
UGGGGAAUAUUGCACAAUGGGCGCAAGCCUGAUGCAGCCAUGCCGCGUGUAUGAAGAAGGCCUUCGGGUUGUAAAGUACUUUCAGUCGGGAGGAAGGUGGUAAGGUUAAUAACCUUAUCAGUUGACGUUACCGACAGAAGAAGCACCGGCUAACUCCGUGCCAGCAGCCGCGGUAAUACGGAGGGUGCAAGCGUUAAUCGGAAUUACUGGGCGUAAAGCGCACGCAGGCGGUUGAUUGAGUCAGAUGUGAAAUCCCCGGGCUUAACCCGGGAAUUGCAUCUGAUACUGGUCAGCUAGAGUCUUGUAGAGGGGGGUAGAAUUCCAUGUGUAGCGGUGAAAUGCGUAGAGAUGUGGAGGAAUACCGGUGGCGAAGGCGGCCCCCUGGACAAAGACUGACGCUCAGGUGCGAAAGCGUGGGGAGCAAACAGG